UAUCUCUGUAGAGUCUGCAUAUCAAUAAGCGGAGGAAAAGAAACUAACAAGGAUUCCCUAGUAACGGCGAGUGAAGCGGGAAGAGCUCAAAUUUGAAAUCUUCAAGGUUCUACCUUGACGAAUUGUAGUUUAAAGAAGUGUUUUCUGUUAGAUGAGUAGUAAAAGUUCCUUGGAAUAGGGACAUCAUAGAGGGUGAGAAUCCCGUAUUUGACUAUUCAUUCUAGCUUUGUGAUACACUUUCAAAGAGUCGGAUUGUUUGGGAAUGCAGUCCAAAAUGGGUGGUAAAUUUCAUCUAAAGCUAAAUAUUGGCGAGAGACCGAUAGGGAACAAGUACCGUGAGGGAAAGAUGAAAAGAACUUUGAAAAGAGAGUUAAACAGUACGUGAAAUUGUCAAAAGGGAAGCGUUUGACACCAGUGUUGUUUUUCCGAAAAUCAAUUAAAAAUUGAUUCAGUGCCAGGUUGUAUUGACCUUAUCAGCUUGCAAUUUGGUUUUGGGUCUCUUUUUGAUGCACUUUUCGGUUAACAAGUCAACAUCAAUUUCCUUUGCUGUAAAAAGGUAAGAGGAAGGUGGCUUCAAUUUCGGUUGAAGUGUUUAUAGCCUUUUAUCUCUGCAGUCGGGGAGAUUGAGGUCUGCAGCGUAGACCCUUCGGGGCUAGAUACAUUUAUGCUAAGUUAUAGCUUUUCAUAGACAACUUGUUGACUAUGUUUAGUCAUGUAGCUUACUCAUAAGUGCUAUUUUACCUACGCUUAGGAUGUUGAAGACUCUACAGAGAUA
rnacentral:rRNA from 1 species